UACGUAGGGUGCAAGCGUUGUCCGGAAUUAUUGGGCGUAAAGAGCUCGUAGGCGGUUCGUCGCGUCGGCUGUGAAAUCCCGAGGCUCAACCUCGGGUCUGCAGUCGAUACGGGCGGACUGGAGUUCGGCAGGGGAGACUGGAAUUCCUGGUGUAGCGGUGAAAUGCGCAGAUAUCAGGAGGAACACCGGUGGCGAAGGCGGGUCUCUGGGCAAUUCCUGACGCUGAGGCGCGAAAGCGUGGGGAGCAAACGGG
rnacentral:rRNA from 1 species